rnacentral:lncRNA from 1 species
GCUGCUGAGCGCUGAUUGGCUCCGGCUUGGGAAGCGGCAGAAAAGGCCGGCGUGUGGGGCGGGCCUGGGGAAGGGACUCCCGCGGCCCUAAGGUGCUGGCGGGCGUUUGGCGUUGCAGCUGUGUGGGCGCUGGUGCGUGCGAGUAGCGCUCGAAGAAACCCAAAGGCGUCGUGGGGCUGCCGUGUGCCCCAGAGAGCACUGCAGGCCGGGUAGGGGCUAAGGCUCCCCGCAGUCUUCUGUGUGUCGUCCAGUACGCAGUUGAAAUCGUUCUCCAACCUGGCCAGUCCUCCGAGGCCCUUCUCAGGCGACCAGACUCUGUUAACAGAGUCCAUUGCUAAAACUCCUCGUUAGUAUUUACCACUCCUCCAGUCUGUGUUUUGAAGCAGUGGUUUUCAACCACUGCCCGUUUUCAGAAGAAAUCAUCUCAAGCGUCCGUGUGCUGCUAGAAGCCGGGCCGGGAGGUCUUGGUGCCGGACUCCACCCUGCAGCCCUUCCCUUUCGCCACCGCCCUGUGCUUAGAGAAACCUUAGAGUGGAGCAAUGAGUCGCCCUUGACUGAGUAACUCUUCGGGGUCAACUUCUCCUUCCACGCCAAGGAAAGGAUUCCAGGGCGAUGUUUCUGGAAAUAGAGAUCUGACCAAGCCACUGCUCUGGUGAAAAUUCAGUGGGUCCCUAGCACCUAGUGCAGCGGCUCCUAGCCUGAGUAUUGCCGUCUUUCGGUGGGGAGGGGUUGGGUUUUUUUGUAGCAUCUGUUGAUCUGAUCUCCAACAUCCUCCACGUCAAUUCCCACUCCACCCACAUCCCUUAUCCUAUACGUAAGCUUUCCAGCCACGGUGCUGGCUUGGGUGGGGGUGCGUGCGGUGCUGACACCAAAAUGGAGGUCCCGUGUUUCUGAGAGUCUCUUUCAGAGCAAUGCAAACCUGAAACUACUCCUGCCAAGAAACGAUUGCAGCUCUUCCCGGAAAAGUUAAAGCCUUUGAGAAACAAAGCUGAGGUUGAAAGUAUUAGUCCAUUUUAUAGAUGAAGAAAUGGAGGCCCAGAGAGAUCACGUGACUUAGCCAAGUCCACCAACUAAUAUUGGGAAGCUCAGCAGGGUCCUGGGGGCCCACAGGAAUGUGAAUAAACACGCUUGGAAAGUCUGCAGAAUUUCCAGUCCUAGCCUCCUGCUGGUGUGAACCUGGGCUCCUGUGCCUGGGACCCUGGGAGAUUUGGGAUUAAGCCUUAUUUUGCAUUGGGUUUAAUCUCAACAGACACCGAGGGGCACCUGGAGUCCCUGCAAAACCUUGUCUGGUAUCAGCUACCUAUCAGAGGAUGCAGAGGACAAGGGCCUAGGGGAUGCCAAAUUCCAGGGUCCAGAAAGAGCUUGGGAUAAAAUGAACAUCCAAGGGGAGGGCUUUGACCUGGGCUGAGUCUGCCUGUGCCGAGUCUGCCUGUGCCAUCCAACUGGAGUCUCAAGUCCUGAGGCAGGACGUCCAGAUGCCCCAGUGCAGGGUCCUCCUGAUCAACACCUGCUCCCCUGUACUCAUUAGCAACCUCACCCACCCUACUCUCAAAGCACACUUGGCUCUCAUAUCCAGGAGCUCUGCAUCUGUAGAUUCAGCAACAGCAGAUGGAAAAUAUUCAGAAAAUAAAUUGGACAGUUAUAUUUCUAUUGAA